AAUGAACGUUGGCGGCGUGGAUUAGGCAUGCAAGUCGUACGAGAAUCGUAGCAAUACGAGGAAAGUGGCGGAAGGGAGAGGAUUACGUGGGAAUCUACCCUCAGAACUGGGAUAGCGGCGGGAAACUGCCGGUAAUACUAGAUAAUGUCUGUGGACCAACGGUGUGAUUCCGUCUGGGGAUGAGCCCACGUCCUAUUAGCUAGUUGGCAGGGUAAUGGCCUACCAAGGCAAUGAUGGGUAGCGGGUGUGAGAGCAUGACCCGCCUCACUGGGACUGAGAACUGCCCAGACACCUACCGGUGGCUGCAGUCGAGAAUCUUUGGCAAUGGACGAAAGUCUGACCAAGCGACGCCGCGUGCGGGAUGAAGGCCUUCGGGUUGUAAACCGCUGUCGUAGGGGAUCAAAUGUAUGGGGGUUCUCCCUUGUAUUUGAGAGAUCCUAGGAGGAAGGAGAGGCUAAGCUCGUGCCAGCCGCCGCCGUAAGAC
rnacentral:rRNA from 1 species